rnacentral:rRNA from 1 species
GACAGGGGUCUCGAGCGUUAAUCGGAAUUACUGGGCGUAAAGCGUGCGCAGGCGGUUUCUUAAGUCAGAUGUGAAAGCCCCGGGCUUAACCUGGGAACUGCGUUUGAAACUGGGAGACUUGAGUGUGGCAGAGGGGGGUGGAAUUCCACGUGUAGCAGUGAAAUGCGUAGAUAUGUGGAGGAACACCAAUGGCGAAGGCAGCCCCCUGGGUCAACACUGACGCUCAUGCACGAAAGCGUGGGGAGCAAACAGG